AUUGAACGCUGGCGGCAGGCCUAACACAUGCAAGUCGAACGAGUGGCGGACGGGUGAGUAAUGUCUGGGAAACUGCCCGACGGAGGGGGUUACCUCCUGGAAACGGAGCCUAUAACCCCAAACCAUCCGCUGUGCCUAUAUGGGAUUAGCUAGUAGGUGGGGUAACGGCUCACCUAGGCGACGAUCCCCAGCUGGUCUGAGAGGAUGACCAGCCCCACUGGAACUGAGACACGGUCCAGACUCCUCCGGGAGGCAGCAGUGGGGAAUCUUGCACAAUGGGCGCAAGCCUGAUGCAGCCAUGCCGCGUGUAUGAAGAAGGCCUUCGGGUUGUAAAAGACUUUCAGCGAGGAGGCGUUACUCGCAGAAGAAGCACCGGCUAACACCGUGCCAGCAGCCGCGGUAAUUC
rnacentral:rRNA from 1 species